ACGUAGGUGACAAACGUUAUCCGGAAUUACUGGGCGUAAAGGGUCCGUAGGCGGCCUGGUAGGUCUGGUGUGAAAGCUCUCGGCUCAACUGAGAGAAGCCACUGGAAACCGUCGGGCUAGAAUCAUGCCGAGGUCGGUGGAAUUCCCGGUGUAGUGGUGGAAUGCGUAGAGAUCGGGAGGAACCUCGAACGCGAAGGCAACCGGCUAGGUGCUGAUUGACGCUGAGGGACGAGAAUGUGGGGAGCAAACAGGA
rnacentral:rRNA from 1 species